rnacentral:rRNA from 1 species
UACAGAGGGUGCGAGCGUUGUUCGGAAUUACUGGGCGUAAAGGGCGCGUAGGCGGCCUUCUAAGUCAGACGUGAAAUCCCCCGGCUUAACCGGGGAACUGCGUCUGAUACUGGAUGGCUUGAGUUCGGGAGAGGGAUGCGGAAUUCCAGGUGUAGCGGUGAAAUGCGUAGAUAUCUGGAGGAACACCGAUGGCGAAGGCG